UACGUAGGGUGCAAGCGUUGUUCGGAAUCACUGGGCGUAAAGCGCGUGUAGGCGGCUAUCUAAGUCUGAUGUGAAAGCCCUGGGCUCAACUCAGGAAGUGCAUUGGAUACUGGAUAGCUGGAGUACCGGAGAGGAGGGUGGAAUUCCUGGUGUAGCGGUGAAAUGCGUAGAUAUCAGGAGGAACACCGGUGGCGAAGGCGUCCCUCUGGCCGGAUACUGACGCUGAGACGCGAAAGCGUGGGGAGCAAACAGG
rnacentral:rRNA from 1 species